ensembl:lncRNA
AACAGACAGCAGACAAGCUGUCCAGGAGAACUAAAGGUAGCCACUCAUUUUCUGUGGUCCAGGUAGGCAGAUGUGGUGGUGGUGUAGAGGAGAAACAGUCAUGGAGAGAAAGUACAUUAAGAGCAAGAGAAGCACUUGACAAUUUGAUCAGGAAUAGGAAAGAAGAUGUAGGACAACUGGAAGGAAAAGUGCUCAAAAUAUGACAUGAGCAGCUCAUCUCUUAAAAAAAAAAAACCACUGCUAAUGACUAUCUCACAGCACCGAAACCAACACAAUUCAUAGCCAGGACAUGGAAACAACCUAGAUGUCCAUCAGCAGAUGAAUGGAUAAGAAAGCUGUGGUACAUAUACACAAUGGAGUAUUACUCAGUCAUUAAAAAGAAUACAUUUGAAUCAGUUCUGUUGAGAUGGAUGAAAAUGGAGCCGAUUAUACAGAGUGAAGUAAACCAGAAAGAAAAACACCAAUACAGUAUACUAACACAUAUAUAUGGAAUUUAGAAAGAUGGCAAUGAUGACCCUGUAUGCAAGACAGCAAAAAAGACACAGAUGUGUAUAGCGGACUUUUGGACUCAGA